GCGUCUGUUCCGAAUUUAGUUUGUGAGACCGUUGUCUGACCCGGCUGCGAGGCAUUUUGACGGCUGGAUUGUGAUUCCUGUCGUCGUGGGUUCGAGUCCCAUCAGCCACCCCA
rnacentral:tRNA from 1 species